rnacentral:rRNA from 1 species
AGUAGAACGCUGAAGAGAGGAGCUUGCUCUUCUUGGAUGAGUUGCGAACGGGUGAGUAACGCGUAGGUAACCUGCCUUGUAGCGGGGGAUAACUAUUGGAAACGAUAGCUAAUACCGCAUAACAAUGGAUGACACAUGUCAUUUAUUUGAAAGGGGCAAUUGCUCCACUACAAGAUGGACCUGCGUUGUAUUAGCUAGUAGGUGAGGUAACGGCUCACCUAGGCGACGAUACAUAGCCGACCUGAGAGGGUGAUCGGCCACACUGGGACUGAGACACGGCCCAGACUCCUACGGGAGGCAGCAGUAGGGAAUCUUCGGCAAUGGGGGCAACCCUGACCGAGCAACGCCGCGUGAGUGAAGAAGGUUUUCGGAUCGUAAAGCUCUGUUGUAAGUCAAGAACGAGUGUGAGAGUGGAAAGUUCACACUGUGACGGUAGCUUACCAGAAAGGGACGGCUAACUACGUGCCAGCAGCCGCGGUAAUACGUAGGUCCCGAGCGUUGUCCGGAUUUAUUGGGCGUAAAGCGAGCGCAGGCGGUUUGAUAAGUCUGAAGUUAAAGGCUGUGGCUCAACCAUAGUUCGCUUUGGAAACUGUCAAACUUGAGUGCAGAAGGGGAGAGUGGAAUUCCAUGUGUAGCGGUGAAAUGCGUAGAUAUAUGGAGGAACACCGGUGGCGAAAGCGGCUCUCUGGUCUGUAAC